rnacentral:rRNA from 1 species
GACACGGUCCAGACACCUACGGGUGGCAGCAGUCGAGGAUUUUUCUCAAUGGGGGAAACCCUGAAGGAGCGACGCCGCGUGAGGGAUGAAGGUCUUCGGAUUGUAAACCUCUGUCAUCUGGGAUCAAAGUGCUCCACCUAACACGUGGAGUAUUGCUAGUACCAGAAGAGGAAGCAGUGGCUAACUCUGUGCCAGCAGCCGCGGUAAUACAGAGACUGCAAGCGUUGUUCGGAUUCAUUGGGCGUAAAGGGUGCGCAGGCGGUGUGCUAAGUCGGAUGUGAAAUCUCACAGCCUAACUGUGAUAGGUCAUUCGAAACUGGCAUGCUAGAGGAUUGGAGAGGAGACUGGAAUAGUUGGUGUAGCAGUGAAAUGCGUAGAGAUCAACUAGAACACCGGUGGCGAAGGCGAGUCUCUGGACAAUUCCUGACGCUCAGGCACGAAAGCCAGGGGAGCAAACGGGAUUAGAUACCCCGGUAGUCCUGGCCCUAAACGGUGUUCACUUGGUGUGCGGGGAGUCGACCCCCUGCGUGCCGCAGCUAACGCGAUAAGUGAACCGCCUGGGAAGUACGGUCGCAAGAUUAAAACUCAAAGAAAUUGACGGGGGCCCGCACAAGCGGUGGAGCAUGUGGCUUAAUUCGAUGCUACGCGAAGAACCUUACCUGGCCUUGACAUCUAUCACGAAAAUCGGUGAAAGCCGGUGACGGCCCGAAAGGGUGCAGGGGAUAGACAGGUGCUGCAUGGUUGUCGUCAGCUCGUGUCGUGAGAUGUUGGCUUAAGUGCCGCAACGAGCGCAACCCCUGUGUUUAGUUACUCCGCAAGGAGGUCUCUAAACAGACUGCCUCGCUUUAAACGAGGAGGAAGGUGGGGAUGACGUCAAAUCAGUAUGGCCCUUACGGCCAGGGCUGCACACGUGCUACAAUGCUCGGUACAGAGGGACGCAAGACCGCGAGGUGGAGCCAAUCCCACAAAACCGAGCCCAGUUCAGAUUGGAGUCUGCAACUCGACUCCAUGAAGCCGGAAUCGCUAGUAAUGGCGCAUCAGCUACGGCGCCGUGAAUACGUUCCCGGGCCUUGUACACACCGCCCGUCACAUCAUGGAAGCCCGCUGCACCCGAAGUCGCCGCGUCAACCGCAAGGAGACAGGCGCCGAAGGUAUGGCUGGUGACUGGGAUGAAGUCGAAACAAGGUAGCCGUAGGGGAACCUGCGGCUG